rnacentral:tRNA from 1 species
GGUUAAAUGGUGUAAUUAACACGUUGAAUUGUAAAUUCAAAAUUAUUUGGUAUUUUAAUCA